GCGCCUGUAGCUCAGUUGGCAGUGCGGUGGAACGGUGAUCCACAGUCCCGGGUUCAAGUCCCGGCGGUCGCU